AACGAACGCUGGCGGCAUGCCUAACACAUGCAAGUCGAACGAUGCCUUCGGGCAUAGUGGCGCACGGGUGCGUAACGCGUGGGAAUCUGCCUUUCGGUUCGGAAUAACUCAGGGAAACUUGAGCUAAUACCGGAUAACGUCGCAAGACCAAAGAUUUAUCACCGAAAGAUGAGCCCGCGUAGGAUUAGCUAGUUGGUGAGGUAAAGGCUCACCAAGGCGACGAUCCUUAGCUGGUCUGAGAGGAUGAUCAGCCACACUGGGACGGAGACACGGCCCAGACUCCUACGGGAGGCAGCAGUGGGGAAUAUUGGACAAUGGGCGAAAGCCUGAUCCAGCAAUGCCGCGUGAGUGAUGAAGGCCUUAGGGUUGUAAAGCUCUUUUACCCGGGAAGAUAAUGACGGUACCGGGAGAAUAAGCCCCGGCUAACUCCGUG
rnacentral:rRNA from 1 species